rnacentral:rRNA from 1 species
AUUGAACGCUGGCGGCAGGCUUAACACAUGCAAGUCGAGCGAGGGAGGUUACUUCGGUAACUGACCUAGCGGCGGACGGGUGAGUAAUGCUUAGGAAUCUGCCUAUUAGUGGGGGACAACAUUCCGAAAGGAAUGCUAAUACCGCAUACGCCCUACGGGGGAAAGCAGGGGAUCUUCGGACCUCUCGCUAAUAGAUGAGCCUAAGUCGGAUUAGCUAGUUGGUGGGGUAAAGGCCUGCCAAGGCGACGAUCUGUAGCGGGUCUGAGAGGAUGAUCCGCCACACUGGGACUGAGACACGGCCCAGACUCCUACGGGAGGCAGCAGUGGGGAAUAUUGGACAAUGGGCGGAAGCCUGAUCCAGCCAUGCCGCGUGUGUGAAGAAGGCCUUUUGGUUGUAAAGCACUUUAAGCGAGGAGGAGGCUCCUUUAGUUAAUACCUAAAGUGAGUGGACGUUACUCGCAGAAUAAGCACCGGCUAACUCUGUGCCAGCCGCCGCGGUAA